rnacentral:misc_RNA from 1 species
GUGCCCGUCCACCGAACGGUCGGCAGGCGAUCCGCGUCGGUCGUGCUGGGUGGUAUGGUUCCCCAGAGGCCGGUUCUUGUGCUGCCUACCCCUUCAGGGGAAGAGUUCCAAACUCGAUGUAAGCCCUCCAUCCGGCGCCCUCCAGAGGGCGCGGGAGGACAACGGAGCACCCCCCGCGUUCCACCGAGCCUCCUCGGUCGUGUGGCCCGCGGGGACGUGCGAUGCUCUCGGACCCAGUGAACGCCGUGGGCGAGGACUCGCGUCCCGGUCCCAAGUGAAGCAACGGUACAACGGAUGACGGCCGCUCCCGCCCCCCCGACCGCCCCGGCGGCGCGGGGGCGAAGGCGCGGCGUCGCUGAGGAAUGCU